GAAUGAAAUAGACACCAUCACUGGAAAUAAUAAAGAGAAAAACGAAUACGAGGCAGAUAUUACGCACACAAAUGACUUGAAUGGGGAAUCAAGAGCUGGAGUUAUAGAUAAAAUAAAUCCAUUUAAUAAAGAAUCACAGCAACAGAUUCCACCAAAUAAAAAUAAUAAUGAUGAUGGACAAAAUAACAACCCUCUGGCAGCUAUACAGAAUUUUUUUAAUAACGCACCUCAGUUAUUUAACGGA